AUGUCCAAGAUCAAGACAUCGGCAGAUUCAGUGUCUGAAGGGGAAGUAGCAAUUGCUAGAGAAACAGUCCGCUUGUCUCAUUAUGGCAGCAAUUACCCCCCAUAUUCCUGGCAGCCUCCCAGCAUUUCCUUGGAGACCAGCAUGGGAAUCAUUGUGCUGGAGCUAUACUGGAAGCAUGCUCCAAAGACCUGUAGGAACUUCGCUGAGUUGGUUUGUCAAGGUUACUACAAUGGCACCAAAUUCCACAGAAUCAUCAAAGACUUGGUGAUCCAAGGAGGUGACCCAACAGGGACAGGUCGAGGUGGUGCAUUUAUCUAUGGCAAACAGUUUGAAGAUGAACUGCCUCCAGACUUGAAAUUCACAGGGGCUGUAAUUCUUGCAAUGGCCAGUACAGGGCCAGGCACCAUCAGCAGCCAGUCUUUGUGACCCUAGCUGCCACCCGGUGGCUUGAUGGCAAACAUACUAAUUUUGGCUGAAUGUGCCAGGGUACAGGACUGGUGAAUCGAAUGGGAAUGGUGGAAACAAACUCCCAGGACUGCCCCGUGGACAAUGUGAAGAUUAUUAGGGCAUACCCUUCCCGGUAG